GACGAACGCUGGCGGCGUGCUUAACACAUGCAAGUCGAACGGAAAGGCCCUGCUUUUGUGGGGUGCUCGAGUGGCGAACGGGUGAGUAACACGUGAGUAACCUGCCCUUGACUUUGGGAUAACUUCAGGAAACUGGGGCUAAUACAGGAUAGGAGCUCCUGCUGCAUGGUGGGGGUUGGAAAGAUUCGGCGGUUGGGGAUGGACUCGCGGCUUAUCAGCUUGUUGGUGGGGUAGUGGCUUACCAAGGCUUUGACGGGUAGCCGGCCUGAGAGGGUGACCGGCCACAUUGGGACUGAGAUACGGCCCAGACUCCUACGGGAGGCAGCAGGGGGGAAUAUUGCACAAUGGGCGGAAGCCUGAUGCAGCAACGCCGCGUGCGGGAUGACGGCCUUCGGGUUGUAAACCGCUUUCGCCUGUGACGAAGCGUGAGUGACGGUAAUGGGUAAAGAAGCACCGGCUAACUACGUG
rnacentral:rRNA from 1 species